CCAUCUUGGGGUGCCUGACUGGUUGUCUGCAAGGGAGGUGUGUAGACAUCAGCUCUCUCUUUCCCUGACAACUUGUUGCUGUGGUACAGCACAGGACAUGAGCAAGAUGCUCCAUAGCAUCUGAGAUGGCAGUGAAAAUCCUGUGACAGAGGCAAGAUCCUUGGAGAUUGGUACAAGCAUGAAACUCCAAAGAGGAGCUGGGGAAGGACUCUGGAGUAGCCUGGAGCCAUAACUACACUUAGAAAGGUGGAGAGGACAAAUGUGAAGGGAGCACAUAUGACAAGCAAGAGACCUGAAACAAAGCACUCCAAAGCCCUGUGAGGCACAGAUGACCAAAUUGCUUGUUUUUCUUUGGCUGCAUUCACUUUGCUUGUUCCAG